GGUCAAGACAGUGAGCCCAGCUCUCUACAUACUGGCUACUAGCUGAGGCCGAGCCUUUGAUGUUGGGAGCAGGAAGACUUCUUAAGACUGAAGGGCUAACUCUUCCAUUACACACCACUAGAAGACUCUUCAAUCUAGGAAAAAAAAAAAAACAAAAAAGAUACAGUCUUCUGGGUAGAGCUAAGGAACAACUUCUAUUAAAUGAAAUAGGAUUAAAAAUAUUAAAAUGAGAGACAGGAGACAUCAUCCAGGCUCUGUGAGGAUUUAGACCAGCUACAUUCACAAGUCAGACUCCAUAGUCAUGUUCCAUUCCAAUUGUAAGAAUUUACUUCAGACUGAGGUAGAGAUAAGAGAUCCGAACCAUCUCUUACACUAACAGAGUCGCUGCAUGGCUCCUGUGGGGUUAUUAGGAUUGCUACAGUUAGAUGCUUCAUCCACCAUAGCCAGAGAUCUGAGUGCUUUCCAGGCAAUUAAGGAGGCCCACAUGCUGAGCAAGAAGCUGUGGAAGACACAUCAAGCAAAAGGAUGCACCUGAAUUCUUCCUACUCUCUAGAAGUCAGAAACCACAGUCACAGUUGUACUUCAGACUCUCUACAUUUGGGAUCUUGAGUACAGUAGAUUCAAAAAGGUUCAUCUGGAGUACUCAACCUGCACUGCAACCUACUCCCUUAAAGCAUUCCUUCAGGAACUGAAGGCAUUGUCUUUUCACCCACACAGAAUUAACACUUGCAUCUCUUAAAGCAUUUUGCCAAACCACAAGACUAGACCCACUAUAAAACUGAAGGUAUUCUCCCUUCAACCUGAUGAGGAAUAAAAUCCAUCACCACUGCAGAAAAGGAACUGCAAGAUGAGAAGAACAGAGAAGAAAGGAACAGAAGGGAGCUUCACUCCAUAAUCCAAUAGUAAAAGCAUUAACUUAGAAGAAAAGGGAAACCUCACUUCACUGCUCCUAUUCAGUAUUACACUGCCCUUUUCCUUUUCUUGUUCAAUGAAUCCCACUUUUCCAGACGCUCAUCCACUUUCCACAUUUAAGAAGAGGACUGAAGAGUGCAAUUUAUGUCACCCCAUGUUAUUCAGCUGCUUUCAAAACAGUUAUGCUUCUCAGAGGUUCUCAGUUAUCUUCUGGUGAAGGCAUCUUGAAACAGACCUUUUUAUUUCCCAUCCCUGUCCUCAGGCUCCCUCGGAGGGGAAAGUUCAGGUCUCCAUAUCCUCUUUGUCCCAGGGCAUUUGGAGGGACAGCCUGAGUGAUGGUACGUGCGCCAUCAGCCACAGGAUGUCUUUCUCAGAAGAUGCCGCUGCCACAUUGGUGCCAUAUGCCUUUUUAUUUCAUGACACCUGUUUACACAGUGUGAGUCAGGAAAAAGAUUACUUUCACAGCAGAAUGGGAAAUCACAGAGCAUUCACAGACAGGCAGUGGGUUCAGGGAAUAUCUAUCUAUCUGUAACAUCUAUCAUUUUGUCAGAAUCUGUACAACUGUCCUGAUACAUGCUGGUUUCAGUGUUCUGUGUAAGUGCCACAGUUGCAAAUCAUUUUGAAAGCCAAAGAAAUCAAAUUCUGUAGCUAAAAAUUAGUUGUAAGCAGAAAACAAGCAUGUGCUUUUUCUGAUUACUAUCACUUAACGUAUCCUAUCCAUGUGUUGGUUUUGAGUAGGGAUUUCUUGCUUUAUUGAUUAUAUUUCUUAGUAUUGCAAAGUAAGUAAGAGAGUUGACUUUUAUGACUUUGUAAGUAAAAAUAACUCUUAUCUCUCAAGUGCAGAAUAUUUAUAUCUGUUAUGAAACACAAUGUUAUGACAGCAUUGCUGGCCUUUGGAAACAUCUGAGAAAAGGUUUAUACUCAUUUUGUUAAUGUUUCAAGUGCUGAAAAGACUGGUAGAUUAGUUCAAACCGAAGUGGUUCUGAAUUAAAGUGCUACAUAUAAUGUGCAGUGAUCUCAGUCAUGGGCUGAUGCUCCCUUUCUCUUACUCUUUUGUGAGAUCAUAGUUGUGGACAGAAUAGCAGGACGGUCAGAUUGAAUCUUGGUGACUAUCUACGGCUGCACCAGAUAAACCAGAUCUGUCCAACCGUGAAUGUGCCCUCCUCACUGUGUUGUGAUUUGAGCAUGUAAUAAUUGUUGCAAUGAAAGCAGUGCUACAGGUGUGCUACAUGGUAUGACAAAACAGAAGUACCAUUAUGUUGAGUAGAGAAUAAAUAAGUUGA